rnacentral:lncRNA from 1 species
UAUCUUAAAACGCUUUGCUUAAAUGGAGUUUCAAAAUUGAUGGGCAGCAGCUGUUUAACUAGAAAAUGUAAACGGCAAGAAGCAAAAAGGAUAGAUGGUGUGGUGCUAGUAAAAUGGUAUCAAUAUGAUCUAGUCUCAAUUAAGUUAGUCGCAGUUAAAUGGAGAAAUUGUUAAGACAAAAGAUUGCCUCUUUAACUUUUAUAUUAAAGUUGUUAUUUCCUUGUUAACUGUUUGUUGUCGUUAACAAAGCAAGUAAAAAUGGACAUAAUGACAACAGAUUUAUCUUUCGAAUUGUUUGCAAAACUUUUGGUUUGGAUACAAAGACCAAGUGAAAAUGAUAUUAGAAAGACUGUUUACCGUUUGACUCCUGUCCCAAUUUACCUAGUAGGGACAAAAAGAAAGGACUACGCUGGAAACAAGAGGAUAUAAAAUAUAGUCAGCUCUUUUUAAAUUAAUAGCCGAAGUCGUAACCAGCUCGUAUAAAAAGAUUUCUCGACGUGAAAUAAUUUUCAACAAUGCCAAGAAUCUGUGCUUGCUCAAGAAACAG